GGCAGACAUUGCCAAGAGCAUCCCUGAGGACAUUCCUUUCUCUGGCCUCAUUAAGAACAUAACCAUCAGCUUGGCCGGUGAAUCUAAAGAAAACCUGAACCUCCUUCUCCAGACGGUGCAGACAGCAUCCACGCUCCUGAUGACAGACAUGUGGAACGCCAACUACAGUCUGCUGCUGAACCAUUUCGGCUCUCAGUUGUGUGCCCUGGAGGGGAUGGAUUCCAUCCAGCAGCUCACCCAGGCCCUGGAUCUCCCACCUGGUCUACUGUGUCAGUCGAUUGCACCAGCCAUGCAAGCUCUCCAUG
rnacentral:lncRNA from 1 species